UACGAAGGGGGCGAGCGUUGUUCGGAAUUACUGGGCGUAAAGGGCGCGUAGGCGGCGACUCAAGUUAGAUGUGAAAGUCCAGGGCUCAACCCUGGAAUGCCGGUGGAAACUGUCGAGCUCGAGUCCGGAAGAGGCGAGUGGAAUUCCUGGUGUAGCGGUGAAAUGCGCAGAUAUCAGGAGGAACACCGGUGGCGAAGGCGGGUCUCUGGGCCGAUACUGACGCUGAGGAGCGAAAGCGUGGGGAGCGAACAGG
rnacentral:rRNA from 1 species